GUGAAUCAUCAAAUUUUUGAACGCAAAUUGCACUCUCUUCUGAGAGUAUGCCUAUUUGAGUGUCAGCGUCAUAACAAUCGUCAUAGUUGCUUUUUCGCUGUGACUUGCGUCGGCCAUCGUGUCAUCUUAAACCUUUCGGUUUUAAGCGGCUUAAGUUUUUUUUUACGCUUCCACGACCUUUCUU
rnacentral:misc_RNA from 1 species